UGGGGGAAUAUUGCGGCAAUGGGGGAAACCCGUGACGCAGCAACGCCGCGUGAAGGAUGAAGGUCUUCGGAUUGUAAACUUUUGUCUUAUGGGACGAAAAGGACGGUACCAUAGGAGGAAGCCACGGCUAACUACGUGCCAGCAGCCGCGGUAAUACGUAGGUGGCAAGCGUUAUCCGGAUUUACUGGGUGUAAAGGGCGUGUAGGCGGGACGGCAAGUCAGAUGUGAAAUACCGAGGCUUAAACUUCGGGGCUGCAUUUGAAACUACCGUUCUUGAGUGUCGGAGAGGAAAGCGGAAUUCCCAGCGUAGCGGUGAAAUGCGUAGAUAUUGGGAGGAACACCAGUGGCGAAGGCGGCUUUCUGGACGAUAACUGACGCUGAGGCGCGAAAGC
rnacentral:rRNA from 1 species